rnacentral:rRNA from 1 species
UACGGGGGGAGCAAGCGUUGUUCGGAUUUACUGGGCGUAAAGGGCGCGUAGGCGGUCGUGACAAGUCACUUGUGAAAUCUCCGGGCUUAACUCAGAACGGUCAAGUGAUACUGUCGGACUAGAGUACAGAAGGGGCAACUGGAAUUCUCGGUGUAGCGGUGAAAUGCGUAGAUAUCGAGAGGAACACCUGCGGCGAAGGCGGGUUGCUGGGCUGAUACUGACGCUGAGGCGCGAAAGCCAGGGGAGCGAACGGG